rnacentral:misc_RNA from 1 species
GCUCCUUCCUGUUUUAACAGGUUGAAUAAAAAAUUGAAGAAAAAGACAUGAAAGACAUUGAUACAUAGAUAGCAAUAACACAUCCAAGACAAUGAUAAUGUGUUGACUAAAAACUGUAUGCAACACAGGCAUAGGAACUAACAUUUCAAGCAGCGAAAGUUUAUACAGCAAUGCCCGGCCAUACAACUUGGAAGUUUGAAUUAAUGCAAAAGGAAAUAUCUCUCUCUCUCUCUCUCU